rnacentral:lncRNA from 1 species
UUCAAAAAACAUUAUUUGGGAAAAAAAGCCCAAAUCUUUUAUUAGAACAAAGAUAUCAUUAAAUUAUUCCUGCUGCAAUGCCCAUCUACCAUAUCAAAAAGCAAAGGACAUUAACAAUAGAUAUCCUUCAUAAUAUCCGAUAUUAUGAAUAGCCUCUACUUUUUGGGUUCACUAAACUAUACUAUUUUGGAUGUCACUCCUCAAAC